UCCUCCAUAGCUCAGUAGGUAGAGCGCAUGACUGUUAAUCAUGAUGUCACUGGUUCGAGCCCAGUUGGGGGAGCCA
rnacentral:tRNA from 1 species